rnacentral:lncRNA from 1 species
CCUUGUGCCCCUCUGCAGAGCCGCUGCCGGCAGGGCUGGGAUCAGACUCGGAGAGCGAGGAGCCCGUCCCUGUCCCUGUCCCCGUCCCUGUCCCCAGCCCGGUGCCACCGCGUACCAAGAGGCGCCGGGAGCUCGCCAGCGAGGAUGAGGAUGGUGGGAGCUCAGGCACCAAUCCGGCCCCCCCAGCUCCCCGCUCCGAGGAGGAUGAGGAGGAGGAGGAAGAGGAUCCACAGCCCCGGGGGAGGAGGAAGCGCAUCCGCUGCCUGGAAGAGGAAGAGGAGGAGGACUGAGAGGCUUCCCAUAUCCUGCCUGUGCCCAGGCCUUGUGCUGUUUCCUGGGCUUUUUGCAGAUUUUAUUGGAUUGCUGCAGCUUUUCUGCAGUUUUUCUUGGGUUUCUACAGAUUUUCUGGGGUUUCUGCAGAUUUCCUUCUGCAGGUUUUGAUGCUGUUCUUAAAGGCUGCACCAGCAACCAGUUUCUCCACCUUCCCCCCCUUCCCCUGCUGUCACCAUUUACCCUGAAUUCCCUCCCUUUUCCCUCAGCUGUUGGGGUUUCGGGUUCUUUUUUUUCUUAAAACUUUUUAAAUCUAGACAGGGCCUAAAUAAAUAAAAGUGACUUUUGCCCUCCUUGGGUGUG